rnacentral:sRNA from 1 species
CAUGGGAGCAACUGAUGUAUUCACUUUUGGAUGAUUCCAGGAGUGAAGAGGACUGGCUGAAUGAGGAAUCAGACGAAGAAAACGUAUUUGAAAACAGUGCAAAAUUAGUGAAAGGUUGGCUGUCUUCCCAACUUUCGGCAUUAAGUCAUCUAGCAGACCUAACAUAAAUUUAACCGGCGCCUCCAACCAUGUCAGCUUCUCCGGGGUUGGGAUUUGACAAAACUCCACCUCUAAAUACUCGUCAACACAUUCUGAAAACAAAACUUUCUAAAUAAACAGCAUGCAAAAAUAAA